UCCAAAGAAGUCAUCUUACCAUCCUACACACUUGGCUCUGAUUAUUUUCUUUUUUAUGGAUUGGUUUUCUCUUCCAGGCAGAUUUUCCCCUUGGAGAUAUUAUGUUAGGGUUGAGGAGCAGUGAGGUGAAGAUGGUGGAUAACAGCAAUUGACAGUUUAAGCUUACCUUAUCAUAGCAAGGUUCAAAGCUUUUAUAUAGCAAGCUAUGUAAAAUUUUGGAGAAGUACUUCGAUUUUGCCCAGAUUGGAUCACAUUUGUUUCCUGAGCUGAUCAAGAAAGGAAUUUGCCCAAGGGAUGGGAAAUUUUUAGAAGAAAGCCAUAGGGAGCAGGUGAGGAAAGGUAGUUACUGAGAAUAUAAAAGUAACACCUCCAUUGCACCCUAUUUGAAUAUUAGUAGUAAGAGGUUUCUGUACUAACAGAAAGAGUAAAGUUUAGAUUUAAUCUGUAAGUCUUCAUUGUUUAUAGCUAGAGAUUUUAAUUUCUGUUUGUUCUUAUUGCUGCUUUUUAGUUGCCAUUAUGGGUUUUUGGAUUUUUGUUUUAAUGCCAUCCAUUUUUGUUUGACAUCAUGUUGCUGCUGGUUUGAGCAGAUGUACAUAGCAUAUGUUUUCAUUACCAAUUUGGAUAUUUUUCCCAGUGGCAUCAGCAUUUGAGAAAUGCUGACUUUGAGAUUAGAGUACUAGGGGAAAAUGUUUCAAAAAUGAAAACUAUUUAAAUAAAAAAUUGCUUUAAAUAAAUCUUUGGGGAUCUGUACUUGACUAAAAAGUAUUUUCUUUAAACUUUGGUCUUCGAAAAUUAAAGUGUGUGUGCAUGUGUUCAUUAAAAUGACCUAUAACAUGAACAUUUUCCAUACUGGAGUGUGAUGUACUGCACUCAUUUUGAACUUUAGAACCAAAUGCAUCCUUUUUCAUUUGAUGAGCUACUACAUAACUCUAUUUUCAGUUUUAUUUUCUUGCCAAAUAAAGUACCAAAGCUCAGCAUGACAUUUGGCAACCCCUGA